GUGGCUCAAUGGUAGAGUGACGGACUGACAUGCUGGAGGUCGUGGGUUCGAUUCCGGUUUCG
rnacentral:tRNA from 1 species